UGGGGAAUAUUGCACAAUGGGGGAAACCCUGAUGCAGCGACGCCGCGUGAACGAAGAAGGUAUUCGUAUCGUAAAGUUCUGUCCUAUGGGAAGAUAAUGACAGUACCAUAGAAGAAAGCUCCGGCUAAAUACGUGCCAGCAGCCGCGGUAAUACGUAUGGAGCGAGCGUUGUCCGGAAUUAUUGGGCGUAAAGGGUACGCAGGCGGUUUAAUAAGUCGAAUGUUAAAGAUCGGGGCUCAACCCCGCAAAGCAUUGGAAACUGAUAAACUUGAGUAGUGGAGAGGAAAGUGGAAUUCCAAGUGUAGUGGUGAAAUACGUAGAUAUUAGGAGGAAUACCAGUAGCGAAGGCGACUUUCUGGACACAAACUGACGCUGAGGUACGAAAGCGUGGGGAGCAAACAGG
rnacentral:rRNA from 1 species